rnacentral:rRNA from 1 species
AGAAUCAACGCUGGCGGCGUGCCUAACACAUGCAAGUCGCACGAGAAAGGGACUUCGGUCCUGAGUACAGUGGCGCACGGGUGAGUAACACGUGAAUCAUCUACCUUCGAGUGGGGAAUAAACUGAGAGAAAUCUUAGCUAAUACCGCAUAAUACCUACGGGUCAAAGCAGCAAUGCGCUUGAAGAGGAGUUCGCGGCAGAUUAGUUAGUUGGCGGGGUAAUGGCCCACCAAGACGAUGAUCUGUA